rnacentral:tRNA from 8 species
UAGCUCAGCUGGGAGAGCGCCUGCUUUGCACGCAGGAGGUCUGCGGUUCGAUCCCGC